rnacentral:rRNA from 1 species
UACGUAGGGGGCAAGCGUUGUCCGGAUUUAUUGGGCGUAAAGAGCGUGUAGGCGGCCAGAUAGGUCAGCUGUGAAAACUCGAGGCUCAACCUCGAGACGCCGGUUGAAACCAUCUGGCUAGAGUCCGGAAGAGGAGAGUGGAAUUCCUGGUGUAGCGGUGAAAUGCGCAGAUAUCAGGAAGAACACCAAUGGCGAAGGCAGCUCUCUGGGACGGUACUGACACUGAGACGCGAAAGCGUGGGGAGCGAACAGG